rfam:Pteropus alecto contig115075, whole genome shotgun sequence.
CCAAAGGCUCUUUUCAGAGCCACCCACCUCUCCCGUAAGAGAGCUGU